rnacentral:rRNA from 1 species
CGAAGGAUGCAAGCGUUAUCCGGAUUCAUUGGGUUUAAAGGGUGCGUAGGCGGACUUGUAAGUCAGUGGUGAAAUCUCUCAGCUUAACUGAGAAACUGCCAUUGAUACUGCAGGUCUAGAGUAUAGAUGACGUUGGCGGAAUAUGACAUGUAGUGGUGAAAUACUUAGAUAUGUCAUAGAACACCGAUUGCGAAGGCAGCUAACGAAACUAUAACUGACGCUGAGGCACGAAAGUGCGGGGAUCAAACAGGAUUAGAUACCCUGGUAGUCCGCACCGUAAACGAUGAUUACUCGUUGUUGGCGAUAUGACAGUCAGCGACCAAGCGAAAGCGAUAAGUAACCCACCUGGGGAGUACGCCGGCAACGGUG